UGCAAGUGGAGUUUCUUAUUUUGCCCCUCUUUAUUGCAGAAAGGCAGCAUGCGAUAUACACCCUUUUUAUACUUUGCUUUUAUUCAUCCUGGAAAUUACUCCAUGUCAGUUCAUAGAGAGAUUUAGAGAUGCUGAGAGAAGUGGCCUCUGAAAGGUCAGCCAGAGGGCACAAUGCCCAUGCCACAGGGCCACAUAGAGGUGUGUUUGCGAAGAGGUCAUGGAAGCAUCCCAGGAGACCCAAGGCUGGCAUUUGGGCAUCUGCUCCUGGAGGGCACUGAUGCCAGAUUAAACCACCACCAUCAAGGUGGACCCUGCUUUUCUCCCUCCCAUCCUUCCCUUCCAUCCUGACCCUGGGGUACCCAGAAGCAGCAGGAUGCAGAGAGGAGGAGUGAACAUGGUGAAGAAAUAGAAGUGCGACCGCUCUUCUCCUUCACUCCUGCAGGUUUUCAAGCCUGGAUGGGCCUGAGAAGCUUUAUGGACACCAGAAAUUGAAGCUCUGACUCAAAUCGACCUGGACUUAUAGCACCUGAAAAUGAGACUAUUCUAACGCCUGAAAGUGAGCGGGAAAGCUAAGUGGUCUGCUCAACACACUGCAUGGAUGGAGAAGGGAAAAUCGACCAAGGAAGUUUGGAGUAGCAGUGAGAAAGAAUACAGCUGUUUCCUGCUUUUCUCCUAUUGAGUCCUGCCUGCUCAAUAUGCUGCGUUCCAAGAGAACCCAGCUCAGACUCAGACGAGAGCUGGGGACAAACAGAGUAAAUGAACACUCGAUCUUUGGGCCGUACCCAGGUGUUACAGAGAGAGGCACAGGCAGAGGAGGCAUGUCCAGAGGAGAACGCCGCACUCCGGGCCAAAUUCAGUCCCUUGCUUUGCUGGAUGGACAAAAACUAAAAUUAAAGCAAAUUUUGAAAUUAACAAAUAACCCUCAGAACACCACAGCUUGGGGCUGUGUUAAGUCUGGCUGAUACCACGCUCCUGAGGAUCUCUCCAAAAUUUUUUGGCGCUGUCUUUCAAUCCCUGGGACUCCUGGUAUUGGUCAGUUUACUUCUCUGUUCCAAGACACCUCAGUUCCAUCUGUGGGGUGAACACUGGGGCUGAUGGGGCAGGACACCCCAGGCUGUGUGGGGGAUACGUGGCCUCCAACCCAAAUAACUGGAAACAGGGCGAAAUUCAGGUGGAAACUUCUGAGCAGCAGAGAGUAGUUGGUUUUCCUUCCUUACAGUGACAUUGAUGGCUCCCCAAAGAAGCGUUUGUUUCCCAAGUGACAGCAGAGGGCACUAGAGUCUACCACACGGCCAGGGAGACUGCCUC
rnacentral:lncRNA from 1 species